rnacentral:tRNA from 2 species
AAAUUUAUAGUAAUAGGAAAAUCCGUCGAUUUCAAAAAUCAUGAGGGUUCAAGUCCCUCUAUCCCCA